CUACGGGGCGCUGCAGUGAGGAAUAUUGCACAAUGGGGGGAACCCUGAUGCAGCAACGCCGCGUGGGGGAUGACGCAUUUCGGUGUGUAAACUCCUUUUAUAUGUCAAGAAAAUGACGGUAGCAUAUGAAUAAGCACCGGCUAACUCCGUGCCAGCAGCCGCGGUAAUACGGAGGGUGCAAGCGUUACUCGGAAUCACUGGGCGUAAAGGACGCGUAGGCGGGUUGGAAGGUCAGGUGUGAAAUCCUACAGCUUAACUGUAGAACUGCACUUGAAACUUCUAAUCUAGAGUAUGGGAGGGGGAGAUGGAAUUAGUAGUGUAGGGGUAAAAUCCGUAGAUAUCACUAGGAAUACCUAAAGCGAAGGCGAUCUCCUGGAACAUUACUGACGCUAAGGCGUGAAAGCGUGGGGAGCAAACAGGAUUAGAUACCCGGGUAGUC
rnacentral:rRNA from 1 species